rnacentral:sRNA from 1 species
CGGCGACCACUGAAUUCUGUAGUUCUACAACAGGGUCUGGCUGACCGAAUUGUCAGAGACGUCCAGGAAUUCAUCGAUAACCCCAAGUGGUACACUGACAGAGGCAUUCCUUACAGACGUGGCUACCUGCUUUAUGGGCCCCCUGGUUGCGGAAAGAGCAGUUUUAUGUGAGUAUUCAAAAUUUCUCUUAACUUGGCAAAACGAAGCCUUUGUGGAAACACUGGGCUGAUGGGGUUGGAAAGGGAAAUGAAUCUGGGGAUCGGGGACCAGGAUAAACUGAAACAUGUGGAACAUUAGGGUGUGAGGUAGAAGUCAGGCCUCUGAGACACAUGUCCCCAGACGGUGAGGAGAGUAGCUGGGCCUGAGGAAGCAUUUCCAGGUUGCCUGCUACCUCCUGCCAUCCCAUGCUCCAUAGCACAGCCCUGGCUGGGGAACUGGAGCACAGCAUCUGCCUGCUGAGCCUCACGGACUCCAGCCUCUCUGAUGACCGACUCAACCACCUGCUGAGCGUGGCCCCGCAGCAGAGCCUGGUGCUCCUGGAGGAUGUGGAUGCUGCUUUUCUCAGUCGAGACUUGGCUGUGGAGAACCCAGUAAAGUACCAAGGCCUAGGUCGCCUCACCUUCAGUGGACUGCUCAAUGCCUUGGAUGGUGUGGCUUCCACUGAGGCCCGCAUCGUGUUCAUGACCACCAACCACGUUGACAGGCUGGACCCCGCCCUGAUACGCCCGGGGCGAGUGGACCUGAAGGAGUACGUGGGCUACUGCUCACACUGGCAGCUGACCCAGAUGUUCCAAAGGUUCUAUCCAGGGCAGGCACCUUCCUUAGCUGAGGACUUUGCAGAACAUGUCCUUCGAGCUACAAACCAGAUCAGUCCUGCCCAGGUGCAGGGCUACUUCAUGCUGUAUAAAAAUGACCCUGUAGGGGCAAUUCACAAUGCUGAGUCUCUGAGGAGGUGAUCAGGCUGAGCUCAGCUCAGCUUUCCUC